rnacentral:lncRNA from 1 species
UGACCGAGUCAUAGAGAGCCAGGAAGAGGCAGUUGGAGAAAAAAACUGGCAGAAUUUGCAGUGUGAUCAGCAAGUCUACGCUGAGGAUGCCCAUCUUCUCUGCCUCCUGAGCCCAGCAUAAAGACAUGGGAUAUGUGAGAAAAGGAAUAGGAAAAAGCCAAAGAGACACCGGCUUACAUUAGAAAAUCUACUCAAAAUCACUCAA